CUCAAAGAUUAAGCCAUGGAGUGGUAAUCAAUAUAUUACCCGACAGUUUAAAUAAGUGAUUCGCAACCACUCACUAUACACGCACGCUGWAUAUACDACGCACGACUCGGUACAAACUCGACUAUAUGAAGCCUCUUUUAUUCUAUCUCRCAGGGAGUAUAGUUUUUUACGCCAUACGUAGAGUAUAAACAACGCAUAGCAUACACUUAUGCAACUGCWGAUAGCUGCUUAAUACAGUUACACUUGUCUUGACUUGGCAAUUAAUACACACACAACGCGGUGUAUAUAUGAUAUGACACACACUGCGCGUUAUACCCACCCACACACACAGCUAAAGGUAAAUUAUCUUAAAGCAAGUGUUACCCGGUACCAAUGAUCAACACGGGAAGGCAGGCCUUAAAGGAGUAUGCCGAUCUGCGGGGAAAGUAACCUAUGUGACUAGACUGUAUUUACUGAGAUUUUGAAGUUAUUAAGCCGUAUAAACAAUCCAUGCGACAUAUAACACGCAGGGUGUAUAAUGUCCCAAGCGCGUAACAUAUCCUGCGUUGGGUGUUUAUGAACUAUAUACCGAAGGGAUAUAGAUAGGUGCUAACGUCUGCAACACGUUUGGAACGGCGCGUAGUAAAACAAGAGAAUAACCUUAAUCGCAUAGCAUUUUUACAUAUACGACGUGGUGACGCGCGUAUUUGUUAUUAGUAACGGCAGGUGGCUAUACUAAAUGGCCUUUGACUACUCAUGCAGAUCGCGGGGAUAAUCAUACUAAAAGCCAAUAUANCGGCACCCGUAGAGUGAGUAUCAUUGUGUACAAUACACCACCGCGUGUAUUAAUUAAUAUACUAUAGAUGCGAUNUCUGAUGUAAUCCACCCAUACACACACACACACGACGGAUAACUCAGGGAAAGUUUGGCUAAUACGUACGACACACACACACACACGAUACUAAUACUCGGCACUCAAUGGGAUGUUUAUAUACCUCCUUUGCUUCAUGAAAGACAUUGAGUACGCUUGCACCUUCCAUUCAUUAACGUGAAUAGCAAACACGCUGAGCAGACUUCAAUAUAUUUAUAUAUUGAAGCGUGUCAUACAAGCAUCUAUAGCAUCAAGUUACGGGUUGGCAAGUGUAUUUUUGAACCUUCAAAGCAGUCACGCAUACGGAGGAGUAGUUUCUGAUCCCAUAGAAGGAGCACAGUACAAUGAGAGACCGCUCUUAGUUCUAAGGAACGCAGCAGGCGCGUAAAUUGCCCAAUGUUAGUACCAAACGCAGGUAUAUAAUAUGGAAUAAUUUACUGUACCGUCGUCGUCGUAAAUACACGCAUUAUAUAGUACCCCUUGACGCAUACCUUUCAACGCAGCGCGUAUAGUAGAAAUUCCCUUCUAUUAUAUUCAAUGUAAUGAGGCAGUGACAAGCUGUAACGGUUGAGUAUAAAAAAUGACGAGUGUCUAGCAUUGUCGCCUUCGGGCUUGGCAUUAUUGCUGACGCUUCGUAUGCUCAAUUGGACUGCGGUGAGUUCAAUAUACUCAGAACCAUUCAUACACAGCCGCCGCUGUGUAUGAAUUAUCUGAAUAACUUCAAGUAGAGGGCAAGUCUGGUGCCAGCAGCCGCGGUAAUACCAGCUCUACUGGCCUAUACAAUCAUUGUUGCGGUUAAGAGGCUCGUAGUUGGAUUGGAAAUAUACUGCACACACACACACGCAGAUAUAUAUACUACCUACGGGUGGUUCGACUAUCAUUAACACGCACGCACGCGCAGAUACAACACUGUGAACAAAUCAGAGUGUAUCAUACAUGUCUUUUAAUUAAAAUUAUGCAUUGAAUGUCUCAUCAUGGGAUGUUGCAAUAUAUACUACGUGUCGCACACACGGGAUACAAUGAUAAGUCGAUGGGGAUAGUUGGAGUUAGCAGUACUGUUGGGCGAGCGGUGAAAUACGUUGACCCUGGCAAGACUACCAGAAGCGAAAGCGGCUAACUAGGCUAUUCUCUUUGUGAAUGUACCAUACACCACGCACGCGCACGUAUGACACACACAAUAUACACAACGAAGAACGAAGGUUGGGGGAUCAAAGAGGAUCAGAUACCCUCGUCGUCCCAUUUUUUACAUCAAACUAUGGGCUCUCAUUCGCUACAUAAUGCAGAGACAAAAACGACACUCCCUCAUAACAACCAUACAAUAAAAAUAUAUACAUUACGCCUUGAUUGAGCCUACCCUGCUCUCAUAUAGUAAUCAAUAUUUUAUAUACGGUCUCGAUGGACGUUUUUAAAUAUAUAUAUUUUUAUAUAUUUAUUUGCGUGUAAGCUAUCCAUUGGAUACGCGUACACUUUGAUUUUAGGAGCUUUGAGCUCAUAUUAUCAAUGGUUAGAUGCAAGUAUCAAUACAUGUGUGUGAGUCAUAUUAAUCUAUGACACACACACAUACAUACAAAACAUGAUACGACGCACGCUUUAGGCACGCGCUUACUGCAGAAAUGUCUGAGACAUUCCCCUCCGGGGGUAGUAUGCACGCAAGUGUGAAACUUGAAGGAAUUGACGGAAGGGCACCACAAGAACGCGUGGAGCAUGUGGCUUAAUUUGACUCAACGCAGGAAAUCUUACCGGGUCCGGACACACUGAGGAUUGACAGAUAACGUGCUGUUAUACGGUGCAAAAUAUGAUAGCUCUUUCAUAAUUAUGUGAUAGGUGGUGCAUGGCCGUUCUUAGUUCGUGGAGUGAUCUGUCUGCUUAAUUGCGUUGGUAUAUAUAAUGCAUGUUAAUUGCAUUUUUACCAUGCAACGAACGUGACCGCAACCUCCUGUUGCACUAUAGCUUCUCAUGGUGCAAAACUAGAGGGACCGCUGUAUUUAUUUCUUUUAGCCAGAGGAAGGAUGCGGCAAUAACAGGUCUGUGAUGCCCUCAGAUGUCCCGGGCUGCACACGUGCUACAAUGAUUAUUGCACUGCGUAUCUUCUAACGCGGCGAUUUAAUUAAUUUAAAAUCACCGCGACACCCGUGUCGAUAGGCUAUACGGGUAACCCUUUAGAAGUAAUGAUUUCCAAUGUAUUUAUAUCAACUCAUGGUGGGGACAGACCAUUGAUAAUUGUUGGUCUCGGUCACAACUAGGAAUGCCUUGUACGAGUUGGUUCAUUAAACCACUCGGAAUACGUCCCUGCCCUUUGUACACACCGCCCGUCGCUCUUACCGAUGGA
rnacentral:rRNA from 1 species